CGAUUGGUUAGACAGGUGCUUGGAGGGGUUGUAUCGGACCUAAGAGUAGAGGUUGAUUCCACUCUCCCACCACGCACUUUUCGUAUCAUCCUAGAUCUGGAUGCCCUUCAUGGAACCUAAAAACCAGCGAGUCCCGGAAAGGCCUCAGGCAAUUGCCAAGCCGAUGGCCUUCUGCCACUUAGUUAAUGUGCACCUGGCAGCUUAGGUGGCCGCGGAGAAAGCAACUUUGGCUGCACCAAGGUCCGGCACAAGUCUGGAGAAGCUUCAGCCAGUUCCAGUGAGUUGGGAUAAAUGAAACGUGGAUCUACCAUAGACGUCUGUCCGUCUUACUGGAUAAGCGAGCACCUUUACCGGGGAAGUUAGAUGGCUGGAGUCAGCUGGCAAAUACAGAAGCAGGAAACAUUACACUGAAGCUCAGAAAAUAAUAUCCCCAAAUGAAGGCAUCAGAAAUAAAAGUUCUUCUCUGACCUUCUUUCUCUCAAGGUCAUAAGACCUCCAUUCCAUAGAGGGCCCUGUGCCACACCCAGAAGGAAGGAACGCUGCUCAGAGAGGCCAAGAUGAGUCUAGACAGGCAGGCCCUGCUGGGGUUUCCCAACUCCAUCUAUUAGCAUUAGAUCAUACCCUUAUUGUCCAAUCAUAUUUCUCCAUUGCUGCUCGUACUUUGUUGAACCUAAGCAAAAAUCGGACAAUUUUCUGUGUAUUUUUGGGUCUUCAUUCAGAAGGUUCCUGUGUGUAUAUGUUAAAUAAAUUUUUAUGAUUUUUCUCCAAUUAUUCUGCCUUGUAUGAAGUGAUUUUUCCAUGAAACUUCAGGGGCUCAAGGGCCCUGGCCCGUGAAAUUAAUAUAACCUAGGACAUAAAUUUACCCUUCUAUUAUCUCACUCCUCAUACCACCCCCACCCCCAACACACACACUUCUUUUUUUUUUCUCAAUAUUCUAGAAUGUACCUGGAAUGAGCCUAAAAUAUUUUUUCCCCCAGGAAUGGUGUAAUGUAUGGAAUGGUUAUUUCUAGGGGUAUUUAGCUUAUGAAUGAUUAAAGAAAAAGUCAAAAAGGACUUUGGAAAUUAUCAAAUUUAAACCUGCAUUUUACAUUAUUAAAUAAACUUCAUAUGAGGUUGUUGGUUUAGAUUGAGCCCCUGCACUAGGUUCAACAGACCAAACCAAAAUGCAGUCACUCCUGCUGAAGUUCCAUGUCACCAAGCCAAAAGUAAGUUCUCUACCUGACCUUCUGAGAAAUCAGGAGAGUGAGAGAUAAUAGCCAAAUCUCCACACAAGCCAGUUUUAGCUGGCAUGAUAAGGAAAUCCCCUCUGUUUUAACCUUUACAAGGAAAGGAGCUUGGAAAUAACCAACUUGCUUUUUGUCUUUUGAUUCUGCUUUUCUCAGCCCUUUUCUGUCUACAAAACCAACCUCCUCUGCUCAGUUCAUCUGAACACAUUCCACUUUGUAGAAUGAGAUGUCGCCCAAUUCUAGAAUCACAAAUAAAAGCCAAUUAAGGUCUUUAAAUUUAUUGUAAUUUUGUCUUUGAACAACAUAUAUGAAGUUUUAAUUACCUGCUUAGUUAUAGGUAGCAAAUUUGAAACACUCAUUCCUUUCCCAAGGACAUGAUGAAGUGAUCAGAUUAUUUUAUACCCCUUUGAACAGCUUUCUGAGGCAUGUUUGUAUAGGCUUCUUGGUUACUUUAGAAACAUUCUAAGCAGCAGAGCAGUCUUACAACCUGAGUAUUUUCUA
rnacentral:lncRNA from 1 species